UUUCCGUAGGUGAACCUGCGGAAGGAUCACUCAUAAUAAAGUGUUUUAUGGCACUUUUUAAAAAUCCAUAUCCACCUUGUGUGCAAUGUUAGAUCUCGUCAAUCUUGGCGAAAUUUUUAUACAUCAACUCAUUCUUUAACUAAUUUGUCUGAAAAAUAUUAUGAAUACUUAAUUCAAAAUACAACUUUCAACAACGGAUCUCUUGGCUCUC
rnacentral:misc_RNA from 1 species